rnacentral:misc_RNA from 1 species
GAUGAAGAAGGUAGCGAAAUGCGAUAAGUAAUGUGAAUUGCAGAAUUCAGUGAAUCAUCGAAUCUUUGAACGCACAUUGCACUCAUUAGUAUUCUAGUGAGUAUGCCUGUUCGAGCGUCAUUUCAACCCUUAAGCCUAGCUUAGUGUUGGGACUCUACCCUAACCGGUAGUUCCCCAAAAUCAGUUGGCGGAGUUCAGUCGGCUCUGAGUGUAGUAAUUUUCUCUCGCUUUAGAAGUCUUCUGGAUUACGGCCAGAAAGAGACGAGUCUCGCAUCUCGGUGCGUUUCUCAACUUUUUUUUACAAUGGUUGACCUCGGAUCAGGUAGGAAUACCCGCUGAACUUAAGCAUAUCAAUAAGCGGAGGA